UACGGAGGGUGCAAGCGUUAUCCGGAUUCACUGGGUUUAAAGGGUGCGUAGGCGGGCAGGUAAGUCAGUGGUGAAAUCUCCGAGCUUAACUCGGAAACUGCCUUUGAUACUAUCUGUCUUGAAUAUUGUGGAGGUAAGCGGAAUAUGUCAUGUAGCGGUGAAAUGCUUAGAGAUGACAUAGAACACCUAUUGCGAAGGCAGCUUACUACGCAUAUAUUGACGCUGAGGCACGAAAGCGUGGGGAUCAAACAGG
rnacentral:rRNA from 1 species